CCAUGAAGCUGGAAUUGCUAGUAAUGGCAGGUCAGCAUACUGCCGUGAAUACGUUCCCGGGCCUUGUACACACCGCCCGUCACACCAUGAGAGUUGGGAAUACCCGAAGCCUGUGAGCUGACUGUAAGGAGGCAGCAGUCGAAGGUAGAAUCAAUGAUUGGGGGUGAAGUCGUAACAAGGUAGC
rnacentral:rRNA from 1 species